ACGCGGCGUACUGAGCUGGGGAAGGGUCGCUCUUCAGCGCGUAGGCUUGCUUAGCUUGUCGGUGUGAAGCUUGUGCAAAGGGGCCCAUUAUUGGGAUAUUGGUAUGUUAACUAAAUUGUUUUUAAGCUUUUGGCAUCAACGGCGUAAGGGCAUGCGCACGUAUAGGGCUGUCUGCAGCUGCGCGGCUGCUGAGAGUUACAGCAGCACAGGCCCAUCAGUGCAAGGAGAAAGAUUCCGCCACGCUCUGGGCUGCCCUGGAGUAAAGGUGAAAAGCCUAACUGCCAGCCCGGCACGCUCCAAGCUCCUGCAAUAUGAAAUGCAAGCAAGGCUGGCAGGAGAGGGGUGCCGCUAAUCCUCUGCUUCCAGUCGUCCGCAGGAACUACUUAGUGCUCUGCUCUCUGGCACAGGAUACUCUGAGUCAACCUCUUCGGAAAUUACCUGUGCAGCUGGGCUCGCGUUCACUGCUGCAGAUAUCCUGGGUCUUGGCUGAUGGAGGUGACAAAACUGUGCCCUUCCCUAGUAAAUCAUCAUCUGUCCCCAGAAACACUAUGAGAUUUCUACUGUGAGGACAGUGCUUAAGAAGCGUCGCUGUUACCAUCUUGGAUUUUUGUUAAAAUACAACAGAGGUAUAAAGCUGCUCACAACACUGAAAUGUAGAAAAGAGGUCAUCCAAGAUGUUCAAAUCAGCGUUCACAAGGCAAAGGAACAACAGGGUUUUUUUUCUUUAGUGUUACUAAAACAAUGGUGAUGCAGGAAAGGAGGGUAGACCGGAGCCUCCUCUUCACCCUCACUUCAGUAGCAGAUCAAGACUACGGUUUCUGAAGCUGAAUGACAACUAUUCCUAACUGAGGAAAGGGAGUAUGCCAUAGGCAGUUUGCAAUUCACCCAUGACAUCCUUUGCCACAGGAUCUCAACGGGGCUAGAAGAUAGAAUUAAAAAUGACAUCCAUAGGAAAAACAUAAAUGGGCAAUAUACAUAGUUACAUUAGGAAUAAAUCCCUUAGAAUUUAAAUACAGGCUGGGUCCUCAAGCAGGGUAAGAGGACAUCUACACAGUCAGAUUACUGCGUAAUUGCAGUAACCAGUUAGGGAGGUACAACCAGAGCACAUCAAUCCCUCAACUCCCAUGUUGCAUCAACCCUUACAUUUUUAUCCCAUACCUGUACAGUCCUCAGUAGAUUCCCCCAGGCUCCACAUACAUUCACAUCCUGCAGCGAGAGCCAGGAUGUCCCAGAACAACUGGCAUAUUCCCAUGCCUCAGGGAGGUACUGGAGGAGGAGAAAAACUGCUGGGCACUGGCUUCACCCCAAUGCUCUGGUUGAAGGAUCGGCAGCCACCUACAGAGGCACAUCAAACGAGGCCCCCCACAGCUGCAAAGGGAAACUGGCUGGGAUUACACAGAGACACCGCAGCAAAGAGAAACUUUGCAGCCAGCUGGGUGCACAAAGAGCUUGAUACAGUGAGAAACAGCCCAACACAAGCUGACUUCCAAGUGAAGCUAAGGCUCCUCGCAUAUGGACAGGACUGGGGG